CGGGACGGGUGAGUAAUGUCUAGGGAAACUGCCUGAUGGGAGGGGAUACACUGGAAACGGUAGCUAAUACCGCAUAACGCGCAAGACCAAAGAGGGGGACCUUCGGGCCUCUUGCCAUCGGAUGUGCCCAGAUGGGAUUAGCUAGUAGGUGGGGUAACGGCUCACCUAGGCGACGAUCCCUAGCUGGUCUGAGAGGAUGACCAGCCACACUGGAACUGAGACACGGUCCAG
rnacentral:rRNA from 1 species